GCCGUGAUCGUAUAGUGGUUAGUACUCUUUGUGUUUUGGUCGCAGCAACCCCGGUUCGAAUCUGGUCACGGCA
rnacentral:tRNA from 1 species